rnacentral:tRNA from 1 species
GGUCCAUUCGUCUAGUGGCUAGGACGUCAGGUUUUCAUCCUGGUAACAGGGGUUCGAUUCCCCUAUGGACUACAA